CCGGUUGAUCCUGCCGGACCCCACUGCUAUCGGGAUAGGACUAAGACAUGCUAGUCGAGCGCCUCCCAGCCACGACGGAGGCGCGGCGCACAGCUCAGUAACACGUGGCUAACCUGCCCUCGGGACGGGAAUACCCCCGGGAAACUGGGGCUAAUCCUCGAUAGGUGAAGAACUCUGGAAUGAGUCUCCGCCCAAAAGACGCUUAAAUCAUGCUUUUAGGCGCCGCCCAAGGAUGGGGCCGCGACCGAUCAGGUAGUUGGUGAGGCAACGGCUCACCAAGCCUUUAACCGGUGCGGGCCGUGGGAGCGGGAGCCCGGAGAUGGGCACUGAGACAAGGGCCCAGGCCCUACGGGGCGCAGCAGUCGCGAAAACUUUGCAAUACACGAAAGUGUGACAGGGCUAUCCCGAGUGCCAUCCGCUGAGGAAGACUUUUACCCAGUCUAGAAAGCUGGGAGAAUAAGGAGAGGGCAAGUCUGGUGUCAGCCGCCGCGGUAAUACUAGCUCUCCGAGUGGUGUGGAUGUUUAUUGGGCCUAAAGCAUCCGUAGCUGGCCAAGUUAGUCCCCUCUUAAAUCCACCGAAUUAAUCGUUGGUGUGCGGGGGACUCUGCUCGGCUAGGGGACGAGAGAGGCCGACGGUAUUUUCGGGGUAGGGGUGAAAUCCUAUAAUCCCGAGAGGACCACCAGUGGCGAAGGCUGUCGGCUAGAACGCGCCCGACGGUGAGGGAUGAAAGCUGGGGGAGCGAACCGGAUUAGAUACCCGGGUAGUCCCAGCUGUAAACGAUGCAGGCUAGGUGUUUGGGCGGCCACGGGCCGCUCUAGUGCCGCAGGGAAGCUGUUAAGCCUGCCGCCUGGGGAGUACGGUCGCAAGGCUGAAACUUAAAGGAAUUGGCGGGA
rnacentral:rRNA from 1 species